rnacentral:rRNA from 1 species
CACGUAAGGGGCGAGCGUUGUUCGGAUUUAUUGGGCGUAAAGCGCGCGCAGGCGGUUUUACAAGUUUGGUGUGAAAUAUCUGGGCUUAACUCAGAAGACGCAUCGAAAACUGUAAGACUAGAGUUUUGGAGGGGGAGCUGGAAUUCCAAGUGUAGGGGUGAAAUCUGUUGAUAUUUGGAAGAACACCGGAGGCGAAGGCGAGCUCCUGGCUGGAAACUGACGCUGAGGCGCGAAAGCGUAGGUAGCAAACAGG